AUUUCCUUAGCUCAGUUGGUUAGAGCAUCUGACUGUUAAUCAGAGGGUCGCUGGUUCGAGCCCAGCAGGAGGAGC
rnacentral:tRNA from 1 species